AAAGGAAAAAGUUUUGGGGAUGCUGAGGUGGAUCACUUGGACAUUCUUGCACCUGUUCUCCAGUGUUGCCGAAUACGGCAGACCACUUAUGAACGUCUUCUGCUCCUAUCUGGUGGUGGACUGUCCCUGGCAAUGCAAGAGCUGCUCAACCUUGACCCCCUUGCACCUGUCUUAACUCGUGCUCAUCUGUUGGCCCUCGACCGACGAGUUUUCCAUGUUCUGGCUGCCCUUUCUGCCUGUCGUGAGCGGCGAGGUAGUUGGCACCACAUCCUGUUUUAAGCACUAAGUACUCAGAGACCCCAAAGAGAUACAGUGAAGGUGUGUGAACAGUAUUUACCCGACAUGUGUGUAUACUUAGAACUUUGUAUUCUUAAUAGCAUUAGGAUAAACUUGUAUGAUAUCCUUGCUUUUAAUACCAAACUGUCUUCUUCCCUUUAGAUUGGUGUGUAGUUACAGUACAGUGACAUUACUUACUUUCUGAGCUCUUGCUUGAUUUUGAGAAUGGCAUUUCUGCACAUCUCUAUCUCCUUUUCUUUUAAGUUUAAAGACAUUAUCAUUUUCUUUUAUUUUCUCACUGUC
rnacentral:misc_RNA from 1 species